UACGUAGGGUGCAAGCGUUGUCCGGAAUUAUUGGGCGUAAAGAGCUCGUAGGCGGUUUGUCGCGUCGGCUGUGAAAACUCGGGGCUCAACCCCGAGCCUGCAGUCGAUACGGGCAAACUAGAGUGUGGUAGGGGAGACUGGAAUUCCUGGUGUAGCGGUGAAAUGCGCAGAUAUCAGGAGGAACACCGGCGGCGAAGGCGGGUCUCUGGGCCAUAACUGACGCUGGGGAGCGAAAGCGUGGGGAGCGAACAGG
rnacentral:rRNA from 1 species